rnacentral:rRNA from 1 species
AGUGAACGCUGGCGGUAUGCCUAACACAUGCAAGUCGAACGGCAGCACAGUAAGAGCUUGCUCUUACGGGUGGCGAGUGGCGGACGGGUGAGGAAUACAUCGGAAUCUACUUUUUCGUGGGGGAUAACGUAGGGAAACUUACGCUAAUACCGCAUACGACCUACGGGUGAAAGCAGGGGAUCUUCGGACCUUGCGCGAUUGACUGAGCCGAUGUCGGAUUAGCUAGUUGGCGGGGUAAAGGCCCACCAAGGCGACGAUCCGUAGCUGGUCUGAGAGGAUGAUCAGCCACACUGGAACUGAGACACGGUCCAGACUCCUACGGGAGGCAGCAGUGGGGAAUAUUGGACAAUGGGCGCAAGCCUGAUCCAGCCAUACCGCGUGGGUGAAGAAGGCCUUCGGGUUGUAAAGCCCUUUUGUUGGGAAAGAAAAGCAGCAGGUUAAUACCCCGCUGUUCUGACGGUACCCAAAGAAUAAGCACCGGCUAACUUCGUG